GCUUCACUACUUUGAAUAAAUAAGAGUUUAUAUCCUCUUUCCCAGUGGAAAGAGCCCCUGCAAGGAGCUCCACAAGAGUGGCUGAAUUACAGGGCAAUAGGACUCUGGUGCAAUUUGUUUAAAGUUAUUUUCAUGCCUGAGAGUCUGCUUAGAGAGUCAGGCUCUGCAGUGAGGGGAUUGGAGAGGAUGCUCGCUAACAUAAUGUUAAGGUGACCCAAAAGUGGCAACGGUUCCCAUUAUUUCUGAGUGAUGAUGAUACUUGGAGCGCUGUUUGCUGAUAGAACAGAAAUCACCAAGGAAAUGGAGCAGCUGCAUGGAAGAACAGCCGAGAUCCGGCGGCGCUGGGAUUGCUCGAGUGCGGGCAGGAGGCUCUGCAGGCAACGUCCACCCGGACUGAGGGAGCUGUGAG